rnacentral:rRNA from 1 species
CCUACGGGCGGCAGCAGUAGGGGAUAUUGCUCAAUGGGGGAAACCCUGAAGCAGCAACGCCGCGUGGGGGAUGAAGGUUUUCGGAUUGUAAACUCCUUUUGUUAGAGAAGAUAAUGACGGUAUCUAACGAAUAAGCACCGGCUAACUACGUGCCAGCAGCCGCGGUAAUACGGAGGGUGCAAGCGUUACUCGGAAUCACUGGGCGUAAAGAGCGCGUAGGCGGGGUAGCAAGUCAGAUGUGAAAUCCUAUGGCUUAACCAUAGGACUGCAUUUGAAACUGUUAUUCUAGAGUAUGGGAGAGGUAGGUGGAAUUCUUGGUGUAGGGGUAAAAUGCGUAGAGAUCAAGAGGAAUACUCAUUGCGAAGGCGACCUGCUAGAACAUAACUGACGCUGAUGCGCGAAAGCGUGGGGAGCAAACAGGAUUAGAUACCCCUGUAGUC